GGCGCCUAUGAAAGCCCCACAGUGAGCCUCCCGCUCGAUGGGAGAGACUGAAGCUUGGCCCCUAAGAUCAGAAACAAAGCAAGGGGACGCCUGGGGGUUCAGCGGUUGAACAUCUGCCUUGGGCUCAGGUCGUGACCCUGGGGUCCUGGAAUCGAGUCCUGCGUCAGGCUCCUCGCUCAGUGGGGUGUCUGCUUGGGAUUCUCUCUCCACCCCCCCAAAUAAAUAAAGUCUUAAGACAUGUAAAAAUUCAGGAGCACCCGAGGAGCCCAGUCACUUGAGCACCUGCCUCUGGCUCAGGUCGGGGUCCUGGGGUCGAGCCCCGCAUCAGGCUCCUUGCCCCAUGGGGAGUCUGCUUCUCCCUCUCCCUCUGCCCCUCCCCCUGCUUGCUUGUGCACGUGUGCUCUCUCUCUCUCUCUGUCUCUUUCUGUGUCUCUCAAAUAAAUAGAAAAGUCCUUUAAAAAUAUAAGACCACUUCUAAAAAAAAAUAAAAUAUGUAAAAAUCCAUUUAACGAGAGACGUGCAAGGCCUCAGGAAUGAACCAAAUCGCUGAAGCCCUGAGGGGAGUCAGAGCUCUGGGACCGAGUGCGCGGUGUCCGUUGGGUCGGCAGGUACGGCAGUGAGGCCACCGCGGCCCCCCAGGUUGCUCCGUGACCUCGUGAAAUACCCCCCAGGGGCUGCUCAUAGGAUGGAAGCAGCCAAACGAAAGGGACACACAGACGUGCUGCGAGCCUGAAGCAGCCAGCGUCGCCUCGAGGGGGAGGCGGGGCCAGCACAGCUGCUCCACAGGCCCAGUGCCAAGGGGUCAGCGCCACGGGGUCAGGCCCAGGGCCAUCAGAGGGCCCUGCCCUGAAGGCUCAGCUGGGAAACUCUGGGAGGAAGGGGCGUGUCCUCAGCAAAUGGAGUGGGAGGCGUGGCCCAGGCGGGUGGGCAGUGACCUUGCACCCCUACCUCACACUGCAUGCAAGGUCAUCUGCAGAGAAUCCGGGAGCUGGGGGGGUUAUGAGAGGAGCCCCCCCCCCCAAGACUUCGAUGUGGACGGACAUUUCCCAGGGAAAACGCAGAAAGCGGAAAGGAAACAGGUCCUCUGCCUUAAUCAAAGUAGAACCUUCUGCACCGAGAAA
rnacentral:lncRNA from 1 species